rnacentral:rRNA from 1 species
UACGGAGGGUGCAAGCAUUAAUCGGAUUUAUUGGGCGUAAAGGGCGCGUAGGCGGAAAUGCAAGUCAGAUGUGAAAUCCCGGGGCUCACCCCCGGAACAGCAUUUGAAACUGCAUUCCUUGAGGGUAGGCGGAGAAAAUGGAAUUCCACAAGUAGCGGUGAAAUGCGUAGAUAUGUGGAAGAACACCAGUGGCGAAGGCGGUUUUCUAGCUUAUACCUGACGCUGAGGCGCGAAAGCAAGGGGAUCAAACAGG